AAAAAGCGGAGGAAAAGAAACCAACAGGGAUUGCCUUAGUAGCGGCGAGUGAAGCGGCAAGAGCUCAAAUUUGAAAUCUGGUACUUUCAGUAUCCGAGUUGUAAUUUGAAGAAAGUUAUCUUGGAGUUGGCCCUUGUCUAUGUUCCUUGGAACAGGACGUCACAGAGGGUGAGAAUCCCGUGCGAUGGGGUGCCCAUUCUAUGUAAGAUACUUUCGACGAGUCGAGUUGUUUGGGAAUGCAGCUCUAAGUGGGUGGUAAAUUCCAUCUAAAGCUAAAUAUUGGCGAGAGACCGAUAGCGAACAAGUACAGUGAUGGAAAGAUGAAAAGAACUUUGAAAAGAGAGUGAAAAAGUACGUGAAAUUGUUGAAAGGGAAGGGUAUUUGAUCAGACUGAUAUUCAGUUAACACUGUUCCUUGUGGAUGGUGCUCUAGCUUUUUAUUGGGCCAGCAUCAGUUUAGGUGGCAGGAUAAGAACUGUUGAACGUGGCUCUUCGGAGUGUUAUAGCUUCAGUUGAUACUGCCUAUCUAGACUGAGGUCUGCGGCUUGCCUAGAUGCUGCGUAAGACUACGUA
rnacentral:rRNA from 1 species